ensembl:lncRNA
AUGGGGGAAGGGGCGAGGGUCAAGGCGGGCCGGCCCGACCCUAAUCCCAACCCUAAUCCCGACCCUAAUCCUAAUCCCGACCCUAAUCCUAAUCUUGACCCCAAUCCUUACCAGGACCCGAAGCAGGACCCUAAUCCGAACCGUGAUCCUAACCGUGGCCCUAAUGAUAACCAUGACCCUAACCAUGACCCUAAUCCUGACCAUGACCCUAAUCCUAAUCCCGACCCUAAUCCUAAUCCCGACCCUAAUCCUAAUCUUGACCCCAAUCCUUACCAGGACCCUAAGCGUGACCCUAAUCCAAACCGUGAUCCUAACCAUAACCAUGACCCUAACGACAACCAUGACCCUAAUGAGAACCAUGACCCUAACCAUGAUCCUAAUCCUAAUCCCGACCCUAAACCUGACCCUAAUCCUAAUCGCGACCCUAAUCCUAAUCCCGACCCUAAUCCUGACCAGGACCCGAAGCAGGACCCUAAUCCUAACCGUGAUCCUAACCGUAGCCCUAACGAUAACCAUGACCCUAAUGAGAACCAUGACCCUAACCAUGACCCUAAUCCUGACCAUGACCCUAAUCCUAAUCCCGACCCUAAUCCUAAUCGGGACCUUAAUCCUAAUCUUGACCCUAAUCCUUACCAGGACCCGAAGCAGGACCCUAAUCCGAACCGUGAUCCUAAUGAUAACGAUGACUCUAAUGAUAACCAUGAUCCUAACCAUGACCCUAAUGAGAACCAUGACCCUAACCAUGAUCCUAAUCCUAAUCCCGACCCUAAACCUGACCCUAAUCCUAAUCGGGACCCUAAUCCUAAUCGCGACCCUAAUCCUUACCAGGACCCUAAGCGUGACCCUAAUCCGAACCGUGAUCCUAACCAUAACCAUGACCCUAAUGAGAACCAUGACCCUAACCAUGAUCCUAAUCCUAAUCCCGGCCCUAAUCCCGACCCUAAUCCUAACCGGGACCCGAAUCCUAAUCCUGACCCCAAUCCUUACCAGGACCCGAAGCAGGACCCUAAUCCUAACCAUGAUCCUAACCGUGGCCCUAAUGAGAACCAUGACCCUAAGCAUGACCCUAAUCCUGACCAUGACCCUAAUCCUAAUCCCGACCCUAAUCCUAAUCCCGACCCUAAUCCUAAUCUUGACCCUAAUCCUGACCAGGACCCGAAGCAGGACCCUAAUCCGAACCGUGAUCCUAACCGUGGCCCUAACGAUAACCAUGACCCUAAUGAGAACCAUGACCCUAACCAUGAUCCUAAUCCUGACCAUGACCCUAAUCCUAAUCCCGACCCUAAUCCUAAUCGGGACCCUAAUCCUAAUCCCGACCCUAAUCCUUACCAGGACCCGAAGCAGGACCCUAAUCCGAACCGUGAUCCUAACUGGAGCCCUAAUGAUAACCGUGAUCCUAACCAUGACCCUAAUCCUAAUCCCAACCCUAAUCCUAAUCCCGACCCUAAUCCUAAUCGGGACCCUAAUCCUAAUCGCGACCCUAAUCCUAAUCUUGACCCUAAUCCUUACCAGGACCCGAAGCAGGACCCUAAUCCGAACCGUGAUCCUAACUGUGGCCCUAAUGAUAACCAUGACCCUAACCAUAACCAUGACCCUAACCAUGAUCCUAAUCCUAAUCCUAAUCCCGACCCUAAACCUGACCCUAAUCCUAAUCCUGACCCUAAUCCUUACCAGGACCCGAAGCAGGACCCUAAUCCGAACCGUGAUCCUAACUGUGGCCCUAAUGAUAACCGUGAUCCUAACCAUGACCCUAAUCCUGACCACGACCCUAAUCCUAAUCCCGACCCUAAUCCUAAUCGGGACCCUAAUCCUAAUCUUGACCCUAAUCCUUACCGGGACCCUCAGCAGGACCCUAAUCCUAACCAUGAUCCUAACCCUAAUCACGACCCUAAACCUUAA